rnacentral:rRNA from 1 species
GAAUAUUCCACAAUGGGCGAAAGCCUGAUGGAGCGACACCGCGUGAAGGAUGAAGGUCUUCGGAUUGUAAACUUCUUUAGACCUAGAUGAAGACUCAAGGGUGAACAAUCCUUGAGUUUGACAGUAUAGGUAGAAUAAGCCACGGCUAACUCUGUGCCAGCAGCCGCGGUAAUACAGAGGUGGCAAACGUUGUCCGGAUUUAUUGGGUGUAAAGGGCAUGCAGGUGGUUCCGUAAGUCAAAGGUGAAAUGGCCCGGCUCAACCAGGUCAUUGCCUUUGAAACUGCGGGGCUUGAGUGCGGAAGAGGAGAGCGGAAUUCCCAGUGUAGCGGUGAAAUGCGUAGAUAUUGGGAGGAACACCGGUGGCGAAGGCGGCUCUCUGGUCCGAUACUGACACUGAGAUGCGAAAGCCAGGGGAGCAAACGGG